rnacentral:rRNA from 1 species
AGGAGAAGUCUGACUGAGCACUGCCGCGUGAGUGAUGAAGGCCUUCGGGUCGUAAAGCUCUGUUGUGAGGGAAGAAGCGGUACCGUUCGAAUAGGGCGGUACCUUGACGGUACCUCACCAGAAAGCCACGGCUAAAUACGUGCCAGCAGCCGCGGUAAUACA